UGGGCUGUGACUCAGCGGUAGAGCGCUUGCCUAGCACGCAUGAGGCUCUGGGUUCGAUCCUCAGCACCACAU
rnacentral:tRNA from 1 species